AUUGAACGCUGGCGGCAGGCCUAACACAUGCAAGUCGAGCGGAUGAAGGGAGCUUGCUCCUGGAUUCAGCGGCGGACGGGUGAGUAAUGCCUAGGAAUCUGCCUGGUAGUGGGGGAUAACGUCCGGAAACGGGCGCUAAUACCGCAUACGUCCAGAUGGUGAAAGUGGGGGAUCUUCGGACCUCACGCUAUCAGAUGAGCCUAGGUCGGAUUAGCUAGUUGGUGGGGUAAAGGCCUACCAAGGCGACGAUCCGUAACUGGUCUGAGAGGAUGAUCAGUCACACUGGAACUGAGACACGGUCCAGACUCCUACGGGAGGCAGCAGUGGGGAAUAUUGGACAAUGGGCGAAAGCCUGAUCCAGCCAUGCCGCGUGUGUGAAGAAGGUCUUCGGAUUGUAAAGCACUUUAAGUUGGGAGGAAGGGCAGUAAGUUAAUACCUUGCUGUUUUGACGUUACCAACAGAAUAAGCACCGGCUAACUUCGUG
rnacentral:rRNA from 1 species